rnacentral:RNase_P_RNA from 1 species
GCAGGCGCUCAGGCGAUCGCCGGCUCCGGCGUCUCCCUUCGGGGCGGCGGCGGGCGGGAGGAAAGUCCGAGCUCCGCAGGGCAUUGUGCCGGGUAACGCCCGGUGAGGGUGACCUCGAGGAAAGUGCAACAGAAAGCAAACCGCCGGUCGGUUCCGUCCUUCGGGGCGAGCCACACCGGUAAGGGUGAAAGGGUGGAGUAAGAGCCCACCGCGAUCUCGGUAACGAGAUCGGCACGGCAAACCCCACAAGGAGCAAGGCCACAUAGGGAGGCGUUCGAGCUCGUCCUCCGGGGCGAGCUCGAAAAGAACGGCCCGUUCGAGUCUCCGGGUAGGCUGCUCGAGGCGCGCGGCGACGUGCGCCCUAGAGGAAUGACCGCCGCCGAGGGAAGGGUGACCGACCCUCGACACAGAACUCGGCUUACGAACACCUGCGACC